rnacentral:rRNA from 1 species
CAGUCGCCGCGGGAAUACGUAGGGGGCGAGCGUUGUCCGAAGUUACUGGGCGUAAAGCGCGCGUAGGCGGCUCCUUAAGUCUGAGGUGAAAGGUUCAACGCUUAACGUGAACAGUGCCUUGGAUACUGGGGAGCUUGAGUAUGGGAGAGGGCAGUGGAAUGGCUGGUGUAGCGGUGAAAUGCGUAGAUAUCAGUCGGAACACCCAUGGCGAAGGCAGCUGCCUGGCCUAAUACUGACGCUGAGGUGCGAAGGCGUGGGGAGCGAACGGGAUUAGAUACCCGUGUAGUCCCUGUCUCUUAUA